CGAGCUGUAUGCACACAGGUACCAGCUACCAUCGCACGGGUAUAAAUACGGCAUCGGUGCAGGCAUUAGCUUCUCCAAGCACAGACAGAAGUAACACACGCAUCCUUCCUUGCUUCCUUUCUUCAACCAUGGCUCACCUCAGAAGCCUGGUUGCGUUCUUGUGCGUGAUGCUGGCCUCCCUCAUGUUCGUCGCACAGGCCGUGCUCGCCGCCAGAGGUGAUUUAAGCAACGUGAAGCGAGAUGGUGUGAGGGGAACCUGGGCGUCCCCUUCCUACCAGGUGCGGCCGGGGCCGCUCCCGCGCUAUCCUCCAAAGUAGGCUGGUGGCGAUCUAUGCCAAGGACGGGAAUACAAGUAUGCCGGUCAAGAGUAAUUUAGUUAUUUGUUACUGAGCAGUGAGCGUUCGAUGCCGAUAUAAAUAAAGAUACCAAAAUGCACGGUUAUGUUACUCCAUCCGUCUUAUAAUAUAAGAUGUUGCUACAAUCAUAUGUGAAUAAACAACACGGAGCAACGUGUGUGCCUUGCUGUGUGUGCCAUGUCCGGAGACUGUCCGACGCUGAGUCUAUUCGGGUCAUGUUCAAGCUAUUACUUAUUAGAAUCAUGACAUGAAGCCUGUCAUUGCGUUUUUUUACCACUACUUGUACCUUGAAUGAGCAGUACAAGAAGAAAAGGCUCAAUGAUUUUACACGGUC